CUGGUUCUCCCCGAAAUGCAUUUAGGUGCAGCGUCGUGCGUUUCUUGUCGGAGGUAGAGCACUGGAUGAUCUAGGGGGCCCACAAGCUUACCGAAAUCAACCAAACUCCGAAUGCCGAUAAGUUAGAGCACGGCAGUGAGACUGCGGGGGAUAAGCUCCGUAGUCGAGAGGGAAACAGCCCAGAUCACCGACUAAGGUCCCAAAGCGUGUGCUAAGUGGAAAAGGAUGUGGAGUCGCAUAGACAACCAGGAGGUUGGCUUAGAAGCAG
rnacentral:rRNA from 1 species